rnacentral:rRNA from 1 species
GACGAACGCUGGCGGCGUGCCUAAUACAUGCAAGUAGAGCGCUGAAGCGAGGAGCUUGCUCUUCUUGGAUGAGUUGCGAACGGGUGAGUAACGCGUAGGUAACCUGCCUUGUAGCGGGGGAUAACUAUUGGAAACGAUAGCUAAUACCGCAUAACAAUGGAUGACACAUGUCAUUUAUUUGAAAGGGGCAAUUGCUCCACUACAAGAUGGACCUGCGUUGUAUUAGCUAGUAGGUGAGGUAAUGGCUCACCUAGGCGACGAUACAUAGCCGACCUGAGAGGGUGAUCGGCCACACUGGGACUGAGACACGGCCCAGACUCCUACGGGAGGCAGCAGUAGGGAAUCUUCGGCAAUGGGGGCAACCCUGACCGAGCAACGCCGCGUGAGUGAAGAAGGUUUUCGGAUCGUAAAGCUCUGUUGUAAGUCAAGAACGGGUGUGAGAGUGGAAAGUUCACACUGUGACGGUAGCUUACCAGAAAGGGACGGCUAACUACGUG